rnacentral:misc_RNA from 1 species
AGAUCAACGGGAAUUUCUAAUCGUAGCAACAACAGUAUCCCAAGAAUCGGGCAGAGAUGACAUCAAAAUCAACGCCUUAAUUUUAUCUUCAAAAUUAAUAUCCACAGAAUUGAGUUGACUCACAAUCAUAUUGAACUCGUUUAUAUGAUCAGAAACGGAUCCAUUCUCAGACAUCUGUAAAUUAAACAAUCUACGCAUCAAUUAUACCUUGUUCAUAGCAGAUGGUUUUUCAUACAUGUUUGACAGUGCCUUCAACAAAUCGAACGUAGUCUUCUCCUUCACGAUGUUGAACUCCACGUUUCUUGACAAAGUCAACCGGAUCAACCCUAGAGCCUGGCGAUCCUUGAGUUUCCACUUCUCCUCCGUCAUGGAUUCUGGCUUCACCCCGAUCAACGGUUCAUGAAGAUCUUUCUGGUACAGAUAAUCUUCGAUCUGCAUCUUCCAAAAACUGAAAUCGGAUCCAUCAAACUUCUCGAUUCCAAGCUUCGAACUAUCCAUUUUCUG